CUUCCAUUGUGGGAUGAACAGUUAUUCCCAUCAUUAGAGCCUUCACCAAAUGAGAUUGGAGGUUCAGGACAGUGUUGCUACGACAGCAACAACUGCGCCUGCACUGAGUCUGCUGCCACCUCAUAUCCUGCAGCCAGACCAACUAAAUGUGCUGCCUCUUCUGGUCCUGCAGCCUUAGCAGUCACACUGCCUUCUGCCUCUGAUGCUGACAU
rnacentral:lncRNA from 1 species